rnacentral:rRNA from 1 species
GACGAACCGUGCGAACGUUAUUCGGAAUCACUGGGCUUAAAGGGUGCGUAGGCUGCGCAGCAAGUUGGGUGUGAAAUCCCUCGGCUUAACCGAGGAACUGCGCCCAAAACUGCUGUGCUCGAGGGAGAUAGAGGUGAGCGGAACUUAGGGUGGAGCGGUGAAAUGCGUUGAUAUCCUAAGGAACACCGGUGGCGAAAGCGGCUCACUGGAUCUCUUCUGACGCUGAGGCACGAAAGCUAGGGUAGCGAACGGG